UACGUAGGGUGCAAGCGUUGUCCGGAAUUAUUGGGCGUAAAGAGCUCGUAGGCGGUCUGUCGCGUCGGCUGUGAAAACCCGGGGCUCAACCCCGGGCCUGCAGUCGAUACGGGCAGACUAGAGUGCGGUAGGGGAGACUGGAAUUCCUGGUGUAGCGGUGAAAUGCGCAGAUAUCAGGAGGAACACCGGUGGCGAAGGCGGCGAUCUGGGUCGAUACUGACGCUGAGGUGCGAAAGCGUGGUGAGCAAACAGG
rnacentral:rRNA from 1 species